rnacentral:rRNA from 1 species
UACGUAGGGUGCGAGCGUUGUCCGGAAUUAUUGGGCGUAAAGAGCUCGUAGGCGGUUUGUCGCGUCGACUGUGAAAACCUACAGCUUAACUGUGGGCUUGCAGUCGAUACGGGCAGACUUGAGUUCGGUAGGGGAGACUGGAAUUCCUGGUGUAGCGGUGAAAUGCGCAGAGUAUCAGGAGGAACACCGGUGGCGAAGGCGGGUCUCUGGGCCGAUACUGACGCUGAGGAGCGAAAGCGUGGGGAGCGAACAGG